GCAGUGGAGGAAAUUUUUGGGACAAUGAGGCGAAAGCUUGAUCCAGGCGACGGCGGCGUGAGGAACGGAAGCGUUCGGGGGUGUAAACAUCUGUGUGAGGGACGAAAUAAGAUCUGGAGGGAAAUGCCAGAUCGAUGACGGUACCUCACGAGAAAGCCCGGGCUAACUACGUGCCAGCAGCCGCGGUAAUACGUAGGGGGGCGAGCGUUACCCGGAUUCACUGGGCGUAAAGGGGGCGCAGGCGAUCCAGUAUGUCGGGUGUGAAAUCCCCACAGCUCAACUGUGGAAUUGCGCCCGAAACUACUGGGUUUGGGGCUGGUAGAGGGAGACGGAACUGCUGGUGUAGGGGUGAAAUCCGUAGAUAUCAGCAGGAACGCCGGUGGGGAAGCCGGUCUCCUGGGCCAAGCCCGACGCUGAGGCCCGAAAGCUAGGGGAGCAAACCGGAUUAGAUACCCGGGUAGUCCUAGCCGUAAACGAUGCCCACUAGGUGUGGGGGAGUCAUUCCUCCGUGCUGUAGCUAACGCGUUAAGUGGGCCGCCUGGGGAGUACGCCCGCAAGGGUGAAACUCAAAGGAAUUGGCGGGACCCCGCACAAGCGGUGGAGCGUGUGGUUUAAUUGGAUGCUAAGCCAAGAACCUUACCAGGGCUUGACAUGCAGGUGGUACCAACCCGAAAGGGAAGGGACCCUUUCCUUUUGGAAAGGGAGCCUGCACAGGUGGUGCACGGCCGUCGUCAGCUCGUGCCGUGAGGUGUUGGGUUAAGUCCCGCAACGAGCGCAACCCCUGCCCUUAGUUGCCAGCGGUUCGGCCGGGCACUCUAAGGGGACCGCCGGCGACGAGCCGGAGGAAGGAGGGGACGACGUCAGGUACUCGUGCCCUUUAUGCCCUGGGCUACACACGCGCUACAAUGGGUGGUACAGUGGGUCGCGACCUCGCGAGAGGGAGCCAAUCCCCAAAACCAUCCUCAGUUCAGAUCGCAGGCUGCAACCCGCCUGCGUGAAGCCGGAAUCGCUAGUAAUCGCGGAUCAGCCAUGCCGCGGUGAAUACGUUCCCGGGGUU
rnacentral:rRNA from 1 species